rnacentral:misc_RNA from 1 species
AAACCGCAAAGAACAGCCACUGCGUUUUGAUAAGUGGCUGUUCUUUUUUAUUGA